UCGUGUGGAUGUUCUGUUGCAAUAUGCUAAUGCAUUGCACUCAAGCUUUCUGACAAUUUCUGUAUGAACGCUCCAACAGGCACCGAUCACUUUCUGCCCAUUCACAGAGAAGCUCCUGCCUUUGUUGAGCAAGCAACGGAGCAGCAGAUCCUUGUUACUGGAAUCAAGGUCGUCGACCUUCUUGCUCCCUACCAAAGAGGAGGAAAGAUUGGGUUGUUCGGUGGUGCUGGUGUUG